rnacentral:lncRNA from 1 species
UUCCAAAUCCCUGAAGAAAGUAAGGUUUGGACAUCAUUGGCUUCAAUUAUGAAAGCCCCCCUGUUUCUUUUGAAGGGAGAGUUCCAAGUUGUUUUUUAUUUUGGUGGGUUUGAUUCUUUGGGGAAACAAUCAAAAAUGUCCAAAUAAGAUAUAAUAGAAACUUUUAAGGAUGAAUUCAACUUUACAUAACAUUAAGUGUCCCUU